UACGUAGGGGGCAAGCGUUGUCCGGAAUUAUUGGGCGUAAAGCGCGCGCAGGCGGUCCCUUAAGUCUGAUGUGAAAGCCCACGGCUCAACCGUGGAGGGUCAUUGGAAACAGUGGGACUUGAGUGCAGAAGAGGAAAGUGGAAGUCCACGUGUAGCGGUGAAAUGCGUAGAGAUGUGGACGAACACCCGUGCCGAAGGCGACUUUCUGGUCUGUAACUGACGCUGAGGCGCGAAAGCGUGGGGAGCAAACAGG
rnacentral:misc_RNA from 1 species